rnacentral:rRNA from 1 species
AUGUUCGAUGUGUGGAGUGCUGUGGGAUGGUGGGACAGGUGGCAGCUGCGCAUCCUGGUCCUCGGCAGCCUCGGCAUUCAAUGGUUUCUAAUGGUGGCUGCCCCCAUGCGCAAGUACACCGUCCGGCGCUCCUUCAGGCUAUGCAUAUGGCUUGCAUACAUUAGUAGCGAUGCUGUGGCCAUCUAUGCGCUGGCCACCCUCUUCAACCGUCACGCCAGGGCGACCAGCAGCAGCAGCAGCUGCGAUGGCAUUGCGCACAACAAGGCCAAGAUCCUGGAGGUCCUAUGGGCUCCUGUCCUGCUCAUCCAUCUCGGCGGGCAGGAGGAGCUGACCGCCUACACCAUCGAAGACAACGAGCUGUGGACAAGGCACACCGUGACCCUAGUGUCCCAGGUCGCGGUUGCCAUGUACGCCUUCUACAAGUCCUGGCCUAACCCCGGCGACUGGAAGCUAUUGGCAUCAGCGGUCCUGCUCUUCGUCAUCGGGGUCGUCAGUUUCAGUGAGAAGCCAUGGGCCCUCAAGAAAGCCAGCAUUAAUAGACUGGCGUCAGUGUCGGCGACCAUACAAGGAACACAGAAGCGCACAAGAUUGGCGGUGUACUUGGACGAUCUCUUGUUCUCCGAUUGGUACAACUGCUCCACCACCAAGUCCGGCGAGAAGAGUAGCCUGCUUGCAGGUGUGGGUUGGCACAACUGCUUCUCCUUCACCGAGUCGGCGACCAAGAAGCAGCAGACGGAGCCGGAGGCGGGUGAGGAGGAUAAUGUGGGCUUGUCGGACGGAGAUAAAGUCUACAUGGUGCUCUCAGACAUGUCGCUCUCAGCUGCUGCCGAUGACCUUGUACAACGAGGCAGAGCUCGAAAUGUCCGGGACGUUCUUCGGCCUCUGAGCACCAAGGCGGAGAAGGAACUCAAGCGCUGGCUGCGUGGUGCGUUUGGGCUCAUAUAUACCAGAGCCAAUUUGGUUUUCACUCGCAAGUACCUGGUUUACCAUGUGCUGGUGGUGCCCAUCCUGCACAUCGCCGCCCUCACGCUGUUUGCGAUGAGCGGCAAGGAUGGGUACAACCGCACGGACAUGAAGAUCACAUACAUCCUCCUGUGCCUCACCGCCGCGCUGGAUGUUUUUGCGGUCUUCAUCCGCCAGCUACUGUACCGGGCCAUGUCUGCAAAGAGUGUCCCGGCGUUGUGCGAGACGGUACCAGGCUACAACCUCGUAGACGCGGUUCUCCGGCGGAGGCACAAGGACAUUGGGUGGCUGGUCAAGUGCGCCACCCGCAUGGGCUGCAAGGAGGAGUGCUUCGACUACUGUAAGUGCGAAGGCGGCGGUCAAGACUACACAUUGUACAAGAAUGUGUCGCAGAUGGUCCUUGCAGAUCUGGUGGAUACAAAGGACCGCGACCUUGCCAAUUACAGGGUCUUUACGGUGCCAGAAGAAUCACUGCCGGUGGAGGAUGCUGAGGCAGGUGCCGAGAUAAUGCAGCAGAGCAGCCCGGGAGUGGCCAAUUGGGCUCUAAGUGAGGAGCUGCAGAGGGUGUGCGGCCCCAAGGUACGGGGCGCCCUGCGCGGGUCGUUCGACAGGAGCGUCCUCGUCUGGCACAUCGCCACCGACCUCUGCUUCCGCAUGGAAGAUACUCCUCCCCCCAACUACGAGGAAGAUCCACACUGGCUUCGCAUCAAGUGCACGGAAGCAAUAUCCAGCUACAUGGCCCGGCUGCUGAAUUUCCACCCGGACAUGCUGCUCACCGGCAGCAGGCAGCACCUGGUCAGUGAAGCCAAGGAUGAAUUCGAGUUCUUCUUGAACCUCGCCAUGGUAGGUAACAGCGGCAAGCCUCUCAGCAAAGACGACCUGACCAACAUCAUCGAUCACGGGCCGGAAAGGGAACGCUUCCGCAUGCAGGUGCCCAUCGGCAUCGAUAAUGAAGCUCAAGACAAGGAGGUGAUAAGAUCUUUGUUCCACGUCCCCAAGGCAUGCAGUCUCGCAAAGGAGCUGCUGAAACUUGAACCGCCGUCCACGCGCUGGAGGGUGAUGUACCGGGUGUGGCUGGGCAUGCUCUUCUACUCCGCCAGCAUGUGCAGGGGAUACCUGCACGCUAAGAGCUUGGGUGAAGGUGGUGAGUUCCUCUCCUACGUCUGGCUCGUCCUCUCGCUCAAGGGUGCCAAGACCCUGGCCGACAAGCUUCAGAUGCUGAAGGGAGACGACGAGGAACCAACACCGGCCGACAAGCCUCAGAUUCUGGAGGGACCGGAGCCGAGGAACCAACAGCCUGAUCGAUGCCCACAACUACCUGGUUUGGAAAUCCCCCGUCCAGAUGCUUGA